UACGUAGGGUGCGAGCGUUAAUCGGAAUUACUGGGCGUAAAGCGUGCGCAGGCGGUUUUGUAAGACAGGCGUGAAAUCCCCGGGCUCAACCUGGGAACUGCGCUUGUGACUGCAAGGCUAGAGUACGGCAGAGGGGGGUGGAAUUCCACGUGUAGCAGUGAAAUGCGUAGAGAUGUGGAGGAACACCAAUGGCGAAGGCAGCCCCCUGGGUCGAUACUGACGCUCAUGCACGAAAGCGUGGGUAGCAAACAGGAUUAGAUACCCUGGUAGUCCACGCCCUAAACGAUGUCAACUAGGUGUUGGGUGGGUAAAACCAUUUAGUACCGUAGCUAACGCGUGAAGUUGACCGCCUGGGGAGUACGGCCGCAAGGUUAAAACUCAAAGGAAUUGACGGGGACCCGCACAAGCGGUGGAUGAUGUGGAUUAAUUCGAUGCAACGCGAAAAACCUUACCUACCCUUGACAUGUCUGGAAUCCCGAAGAGAUUUGGGAGUGCCCGAAAGGGAGCCGGAACACAGGUGCUGCAUGGCUGUCGUCAGCUCGUGUCGUGAGAUGUUGGGUUAAGUCCCGCAACGAGCGCAACCCUUGUCGUUAAUUGCCAUCAUUUAGUUGGGCACUUUAACGAGACUGCCGGUGACAAACCGGAGGAAGGUGGGGAUGACGUCAAGUCCUCAUGGCCCUUAUGGGUAGGGCUUCACACGUCAUACAAUGGUCGGUACAGAGGGUUGCCAAGCCGCGAGGUGGAGCCAAUCCCAGAAAGCCGAUCGUAGUCCGGAUUGCAGGCUGCAACUCGCCUGCAUGAAGUCGGAAUCGCUAGUAAUCGCGGAUCAGCAUGUCGCGGUGAAUACGUUCCCGGGUCU
rnacentral:rRNA from 1 species